GGGGGGCAACCCCUGAGUAGAGUGGCGAACGGGUGAGUAAUACAUCGGAACGUACCCAGUAGCGGGGGAUAACCUCUCGAAAGAGAGGCUAAUACCGCAUACGACCUACGGGUGAAAGAGGGGGAUCGCAAGACCUCUCACUAUUGGAGCGGCCGAUGUCGGAUUAGCUAGUUGGUGGGGUAAAGGCCUACCAAGGCGACGAUCCGUAGCUGGUCUGAGAGGACGGCCAGCCACACUGGAACUGAGACACGGUCCAGACUCCUACGGGAGGCAGCAGUGGGGAAUUUUGGACAAUGGGCGAAAGCCUGAUCCAGCCAUGCCGCGUGAGUGAAGAAGGCCUUCGGGUUGUAAAGCUCUUUCGGCUGGGACGAAAAGGUCCGUGCUAACACCACGGAUCCAUGACGGUACCAGCAGAAGAAGCACCGGCUAACUACGUGCCAGCAGCCGCGGUAAUACGUAGGGUGCAGGCGUUAAUCGGAAUUACUGGGCGUAAAGCGUGCGCAGGCGGUUUGCUAAGACAGGUGUGAAAUCCCCGGGCUUAACCUGGGAACUGCGCUUGUAACUGGCAAGCUAGAGUGUGGCAGAGGGGGGUGGAAUUCCACGUGUAGCAGUGAAAUGCGUAGAGAUGUGGAGGAACACCGAUGGCGAAGGCAGCCCCCUGGGCUAACACUGACGCUCAUGCACGAAAGCGUGGGGAGCAAACAGGAUUAGAUACCCUGGUAGUCCACGCCCUAAACUAUGUCAACUGGUUGUCGGGGAAGCAAUUCCUUGGUAACGAAGCUAACGCGUGAAGUUGA
rnacentral:rRNA from 1 species